GAUGAACGCUGGCGGCGUGCUUUACACAUGCAAGUCGAACGGUGAAGGUGGAGCUUGCUCCGCCGGAUCAGUGGCGAACGGGUGAGUAACACGUGGGCAACCUGCCCCUAACUUUGGGAUAACUACUCGAAAGAGUAGCUAAUACCGGAUAUGAAGUCUGUAGGCAUCUAUGGAUUUGGAAAGUUUUUCGGUUAGGGAUGGGCCCGCGGCCUAUCAGCUUGUUGGUGAGGUAGUGGCUCACAAAGGCGACGACGGGUAGCCGGCCUGAGCGGGGGACCGGCCAAACUGGGACUGGGACACGGCCCAGACUCCUACGGGAGGCAGCAGUGGGGAAUAUUGCGCAAGGGGGGAAAGCCUGACGCAGCAACGCCGCGUGCGGGAUGAAGGCCUUCGGGUUGUAAACCGCUUUCAGCAGGGAAGACGCGAAAGUGACGGUACCUGCAGAAGAAGCACCGGCUAACUACGUGCCAGCAGCCGCCGUAA
rnacentral:rRNA from 1 species